rnacentral:rRNA from 1 species
UACGGAGGGUGCAAGCGUUAAUCGGAAUUACUGGGCGUAAAGCGUGCGUAGGCGGUUCGUUAAGUCUGUUGUGAAAGCCCCGGGCUCAACCUGGGAAUGGCAAUGGAUACUGGCGAGCUAGAGUGUGUCAGAGGAUGGUGGAAUUCCCGGUGUAGCGGCGAAAUGCGUAGAGAUCGGGAGGAACAUCAGUGGCGAAGGCGGCCCCCUGGUUGGAUACUGACGCUGAUACGCGAAAGCGUGGGAGCAA